AUCAGCUCGAGAGUGUCUCUCUGGAGGUCCAGUGACAGACAACAGGUGCUCCUCUGCAAUGUUGACACGGGCCCUCCCUUGGCCUCUCCUACCAGAGUCUGGAACACUGCUUCCUGGGGCUCAAGGUGGCUGGAACCUUCCUGAGGGGAGUGGAAACUGGAGCUUCCAUUUAGACCGUUGACACUUUUGAGGAAUUUGGGUUUGCCUAAUUGUUCUUCCUGAGAGGUUCAGUUGAGCAUUAUGAAGCAGAUAUCAGGACUUGGGAAUCUCUUGUUACUGGUGGAAAGACCGGGGUUCAAAUCCCCAUAGCGUCAGAGUGAAAAAAAAAAAAAAAACAGCAGGAUGGCAAGAUUAUCACACAAGAGCAGAUUGUCUCCCUUGCUGACUUUGAUGAAGUAAGCUGCCAUGUUGGGGAGGUCCACAUAGCAAAGAGCUGAGGUCUUCAGUCCAGCAGCCCAAAAGGAACUGAGUCCUUCCAACAACCAUGAGUUCUCAAGAAGUUAUUCUUCAGUUCGGUGAGCUGCCCAACCCACACAAGGAAGCUGUUUAUCUCUACAAAAAUGAGAAAGGCAACCAAGGAGUUUGAGGUGGAAAUUCACUGAGGAUAGAGGCCUUGUGUGUAUAUGUGCUUGGCACAGGUUACGUUUAAAUGAGAGAAUUAAUAUCUCACACCAAGAGAGAUUUCCCAAAAGUCACAAAGAUGCAAUUGGCUUCCAGGGCAGCAGACAGUUACCUGGGACCAUUAGGGCACUCAAGUUUGCUAGCUGUUUUCUGCUUUUGGAAAUAUUACCUUGGAUGCCUAGUUAACUGGAGGAAACAACUACUACAUUAACUUCUUUGUUCUGAGGGUUGCGGUGGGAUGUGCCCCCUGGCUGAAGCCACAUCACAGAGGAAUGGUUGUUGGUGUUAUGGUGAAGAAAUGAGGUUGGUGUGAACACCAUUCUUGACUGCCAUGUAUCAAUAAAGAAUCAUCAAGCAUUGCUAAUGCUCCUUUAAUUAGAAACGAUCCCCAAAAGGGCUGAGAAGUAGGGACCCAAGGCAAGAAAGUGGAAUCUGUC